UACGUAGGGUGCAAGCGUUAAUCGGAAUUACUGGGCGUAAAGCGUGCGCAGGCGGUUUUGUAAGUCAGAUGUGAAAUCCCCGGGCUCAACCUGGGAACUGCCUUUGUGACUGCAUAGCUAGAGUACGGUAGAGGGGGAUGGAAUUCCGCGUGUAGCAGUGAAAUGCGUAGAUAUGCGGAGGAACACCGAUGGCGAAGGCAAUCCCCUGGACCUGUACUGACGCUCAUGCACGAAAGCGUGGGGAGCGAACAGG
rnacentral:rRNA from 1 species